ACUAAAAUAGUUUAAAAAAAAAAUAUUAAUUUUGUAAAUUAAAGUUGGUUAUCCUUUUAGUA
rnacentral:tRNA from 1 species